GGCCUGAUGGUCUAGGAGUAUGAUUCGUUGUUAGGGCUUGAUGUCUUUUCGACGAGGUCCCGGGUUCAAUUCCCGGUCAGGCCC